rnacentral:rRNA from 1 species
UGUGCCAGCCGCCGCGGUAAUACGUAGGGUGCAAGCGUUAAUCGGAAUUACUGGGCGUAAAGCGUGCGCAGGCGGCCUUAAAAGUCAGAUGUGAAAUCCCCGAGCUCAACUUGGGAACUGCGUUUGAAACUCUAAGGCUAGAAUAUGUCAGAGGGGGGUAGAAUUCCACGUGUAGCAGUGAAAUGCGUAGAGAUGUGGAGGAAUACCAAUGGCGAAGGCAGCCCCCUGGGAUAAUAUUGACGCUCAUGCACGAAAGCGUGGGGAGCAAACAGGAUUAGAUACCCUGGUAGUCCACGCCCUAAACGAUGUCUACUAGUUGUUGGUGGAGUAAAAUCCAUGAGUAACGCAGCUAACGCGUGAAGUAGACCGCCUGGGGAGUACGGUCGCAAGAUUAAAACUCAAAUGAAUUGACGGGGGCCCGCACAAGCGGUGGAUUAUGUGGAUUAAUUCGAUGCAACGCGAAAAACCUUACCUGGCCUUGACAUGUACCGAAUUUGGGAGAGAUUCCUUAGUGCUCGAAAGAGAACGGUAACACAGGUGCUGCAUGGCUGUCGUCAGCUCGUGUCGUGAGAUGUUGGGUUAAGUCCCGCAACGAGCGCAACCCUUGCCAUUAAUUGCCAUCAUUUAGUUGGGCACUUUAAUGGGACUGCCGGUGACAAACCGGAGGAAGGUGGGGAUGACGUCAAGUCCUCAUGGCCCUUAUGGCCAGGGCUUCACACGUAAUACAAUGGUCGGUACAGAGGGUUGCCAACCCGCGAGGGGGAGCCAAUCCCAGAAAGCCGAUCGUAGUCCGGAUUGUAGUCUGCAACUCGACUACAUGAAGUCGGAAUCGCUAGUAAUCGCGGAUCAGCAUGUCGCGGUGAAUACGUUCCCGGGCCUUGUACACACCGCCCGUCACACCAUGGGAGUGGGUUUUACCAGAAGUAGGUAGUCUAACCUUCGGGGGGACGCUUACCACGGUAGUAUUCAUGACUGGGGUGAAGUCGUAACAAGGUAACCAA